ACGCGUAAGGGGCAAGCGUUGUCCGGAAUUACUGGGCGUAAAGGGCGUGUAGGCGGCUUGAUAAGUCAGAUGUGAAAGCCUUCCGCUUAACGGAAGAACUGCAUUUGAAACUGUCGGGCUUGAGUGCGAGAGAGGGUAGUGGAAUUCCCAGUGUAGCGGUGAAAUGCGUAGAUAUUGGGAAGAACACCAGUAGCGAAGGCGGCUACCUGGCUCGUAACUGACGCUAAGGCGCGAAAGCGUGGGGAGCAAACAGGAUUAGAAACCCGUGUAGUCC
rnacentral:rRNA from 1 species